rnacentral:misc_RNA from 1 species
UUCAUAUGCCUCAUUAUUAUUACAAAAAAUGAGAACUUUUCAAGGGCUUAGAGCAACUAUUUAACAAAAAAGGCAAUGAGAACUGUUUAAUAGAUAAGAUUUAUAUAGAACAAGAAAUUUACAUAUGUAGAAAAAAAUAUUCUAGUUUAAUCAGAUCCUAUAUUAUAGCCAAAAAAGGAGAAUGUCAGAUAUGUACUGUUAGAAUCUCUAAA